rnacentral:rRNA from 1 species
AGAGACAGCAGCCGCCGCGGGAAUACGUAGGUGGCAAGCGUUGUCCGGAUUUAUUGGGCGUAAAGCGUGCGCAGGCGGUUGUGUAAGACAGGUGUGAAAUCCCCGGGCUUAACCUGGGAACUGCGCUUGUGACUGCACAGCUAGAGUAUGGCAGAGGGGGGUGGAAUUCCACGUGUAGCAGUGAAAUGCGUAGAGAUGUGGAGGAACACCGAUGGCGAAGGCAGCCCCCUGGGCCAAUACUGACGCUCAUGCACGAAAGCGUGGGGAGCAAACAGGAUUAGAUACCCCAGUAGUCCCUGUCUCUUAUAC